ACUUAAGAAUUCACCAACCCCGUGAUUAUAAGACUGACAGAAAAAAAAAUAAACGUCCUCCUGUGGGAGAACCAAGCCACUCGUGCAGAGAAAACUGUGUCCUUGGCUCCCACGAAGAAGCAACCAUCAUGUCUGGCUGCACAGCAUCAAGGGCUGGGGAAGGUCCAAUACACUGAACAGAAUGAAAAUGGUCAUAGUCAUCCUUGACCCAGAACUAAAAGAAAUGAUUCUGCCCCGAGCUGGGGCUUCCUUGUUGGCAGUGUGGCAGUCCUGAUGCCUUCUGGUAAAAGUCAAGUUGACGACGGAUGGGGGAAGGACCUGUAAGUUGAAGAACACACCCUACAUUGGGAGGAUUUUAAUCUUGACCUUGG
rnacentral:lncRNA from 1 species